rnacentral:rRNA from 1 species
UCAACGUAACGUCUGCCCAGUGACUAUAUGUUCAACGGCCGCGGUAUUCUGACCGUGCAAAGGUAGCGUAAUCACUUGUCUUUUAAAUAAAGACUAGUAUGAAUGGCAUCACGAGAACUAAUCUGUCUCCCUCCCCCAAUCAGUGAAACUGAUCUCCCCGUGCAAAAGCGGGGAUACUACCAUAAGACGAGAAGACCCUGUGGAGCUUCAAAUCAAAAGUCAACUGCUUUAACAACCCAAACAGAAACAUUUUGCAGACUUAACCUAGAUUUUCAGCUGGGGCGUCUGAGGAGAAAAGAAAACCCUCCACGGAGACUUAUGCCAGAAGCUACCGCUUUAAGCAUUAAUAUACUUAACUUAAAUUGACCCAAUUUUUGAUCAACGGACCAAGUUACCCCAGGGAUAACAGCGCAAUCCACUUUCAGAGUCCCUAUCGACAAGUGGGCUUACGACCUCGAUGUUGGAUCAGGGCAUCCCAGUGGCGCAGCCGCUACUAAAGGUUCGUUUGUUCAACGAUUAAAGCCCUACGUGAUCUGUUUCC